ACAUGAUACUGCACGUUUGAUUGAUCUGGAUUGAUACACAAAAACUGUUGGACUUGUUAGAUCAUUUGCUUUGGUUGCCCAUCUUAAAGGCCUUCAUUCAUUUGGUCUGGAGCCAAAAGAGCACUUAGAGAAGUGGAGUAUGCUUGGGAUGAACACAUUAAAGGAGAAGUUUCUAAAGACUACUUCACCAAGAGUCAGUUUAGAAUAGAUUUGGACAUUCCAAAGUUCAAGGAAGACUUCCAAUAGAAGGAACAAAUUCUGUUCCUGCUUAGGAGUUGAAAUCACUGUCCUCAUGAUAUUCUCCACGUUUGCUAAUAAGGAGGUGAACAAAUGAUAGCUUGUGGCUAAUCACUUUGGAUUUUGUGAGGGGUUUUGCAGAGUUCUUCUCACUUUGAGUAG